rnacentral:rRNA from 1 species
GGACCGUAUACAAGUCUCCUGGGAUGGAGCAUCAUAGAGGGUGAGAAUCCCGUCUUUGAUACGGACUACCAGUGCAUUGUGGUAUGCUCUCAACGAGUCGAGUUGUUUGGGAAUGCAGCUCAAAAUGGGUGGUAAAUUCCAUCUAAAGCUAAAUAUUGGCGAGAGACCGAUAGCGAACAAGUACCGUGAGGGAAAGAUGAAAAGAACUUUGGAAAGAGAGUUAAACAGUACGUGAAAUUGCUGAAAGGGAAACGCUUGAAGUCAGUCACGUCUGCUGGGAAUCAGCCUCGCUCCUGCGUGGUGUACUUUCUGGUAGACGGGUCAGCAUCAGUUUUGACCAUUGGAAAAAGGUGUGGGGAAUGUGACAGCUCCGGCUGUGUUAUAGCCUCAUAUUGUAUACAGUGGUUGGGACUGAGGAACGCAGCACGCCGCAAGGCCGGGUCUUUGACCACGUUCGUGCUUAGGAUGCUGGCAUAAUGGCUUUAAGCGACCCGUCUUGAAACACGGACCAAGGAGUCUAACAUGCCUGCGAGUGUUUGGGUGGAAAACUCGAGCGCGCAAUGAAAGUGAAAGUUGAGAUCCCUGUCGUGGGGAGCAUCGACGCCCGGACCAGAACUUUUGGGACGGAUCCGCGGUAGAGCAUGUAUGUUGGGACCCGAAAGAUGGUGAACUAUGCCUGAAUAGGGUGAAGCCAGAGGAAACUCUGGUGGAGGCUCGUAGCGG